AAGAUCCUUUGGAUUCACCAAGACAACUGUUUCUGAUGGCUCCACAACCAUUGCAGUUCCUAGUGAUCUGUCAAGCACAACUGUAUCUCCAGGCCUUUCAAGCAAAGCAGUUCUAUCCAGUCUGUUAACCACAACAGUUCCUACUAGUCCCACAAGCACGGCUGUUGCUACUGAUCCAUCAAACAGAAGUGUUCCUAAAGAUGAUUCAGACAUCUCAGGUCGCACUGAUCAAGUUAAGCACAACUACAGCUAUCGGUCCCUCAGCUACUACAGUUCCUAAAGAUCUUUCAGACAGAACCGUUGUUUCAGGCCCUUCAACCUCCCCAGUGCCUACUUAUCAGUCAAGCACAGUGGCUCCUCAUGCUACUGUAACCACCACUGUCUCUACUGAUGUGUCAAGCACGACUGUACCCAAUCAUCUUUCAGAUAGUACAAUUCCCAACAUUACAUCACUCACAACUACUCCAUCUGGCCAAUCAAGCAGUGCAGUUCACACCGAUUUAUCGAGUACAACCAUUUUCUACUGCUAUUUCAAACAACGGACGCUUUCUACGCGUAUCAAUCACAGCUGCUCCUAAUAGUCCUUCAAGCACCCCAGGCCACACCGAUGCAUCAAGCACAAGCACUCUGAUUAUUUUUUUCAAAACAAAGCAUUCCUACUGAUCAACCAAGCACAAACUGCUCAUACUGGAACUUUUACCACUGCAGUUUCUUCUGGUCUGUCAAGCACAACUGCUUCUAAUGGUUCUGUCAAAAACUAAAGAUGCUUUGAAUUCAUCAAAGACUUCUGUUCCUGAUGGUUCCACAACUGCUGAGGUUCCUACUGCUCAGGCAAGCACAAGUGUUCUGACAGGCCCUUCAGCCUCACAAAUCCUACUUAUCAAUCGAGCACAAUUGUUCCCCAUGGUACUAUAAACACCAAUGAGGCUACUGAUCUGUCAAGCAUACCUGUACCUAAUCAUCUUUCAGAUACUUCAGUUUCAAACAAGAUAUCAAUGACAACUGCUCCAUCUGGCCAGUCAAGCAAUACAGUUCACACUGAUUUAUCAAGCACAUCCAUUUCUCCUGCUAUUUCAAACAAUGUUCUUUCUACAGAUGUAUCAGUCACAACUGCCCCUGAUGGUCUUUUCAAGCACCACAGACCACAGUGAUCCAUCGAACACAGCUGCUUCCAAUCAGCUUUUUCGGACAAUGCUGACAACCAACUAAGCACAACUGUCCACACUGGAACUUCGACCACUGUGGUUCCUAGUGAUCUGUCAAACACAACCAUUUUUUUAUGGUCCCGCCUAUCAGUAAAGAUCCUUUGAUUCACCAAAGACAACUGUUUCUGAUGGCUCCACAACCAUUGCAGUUCCUAGUGAUCUGUCAAGCACAACUGUAUCUCCAGGCCUUUCAAGCAAAGCAGUUCUAUCCAGUCUGUUAACCACAACAGUUCCUACUAGUCCCACAAGCACGGCUGUUCCUAAAGAUCUUUCAGACAGAACCGUUGUUUCAGGCCUCUUCAACCUCCCCUAGUGCCUACUUAUCAGUCAAGCACAGUGGCUCCUCAUGCUACUGU
ensembl:lncRNA